AGUGAACGCUGGCGGUAGGCCUAACACAUGCAAGUCGAACGGCAGCACAGUAAGAGCUUGCUCUUACGGGUGGCGAGUGGCGGACGGGUGAGGAAUACAUCGGAAUCUACUUUUUCGUGGGGGAUAACGUAGGGAAACUUACGCUAAUACCGCAUACGACCUACGGGUGAAAGCAGGGGAUCUUCGGACCUUGCGCGAUUGAAUGAGCCGAUGUCGGAUUAGCUAGUUGGCGGGGUAAAGGCCCACCAAGGCGACGAUCCGUAGCUGGUCUGAGAGGAUGAUCAGCCACAUUGGAACUGAGACACGGUCCAGACUCCUACGGGAGGCAGCAGUGGGGAAUAUGGGACAAUGGGCGCAAGCCUGAUCCAGCCAUACCGCGUGGGUGAAGAAGGCCUUCGGGUUGUAAAGCCCUUUUGUUGGGAAAGAAAAGCAGCAGGUUAAUACCCCGCUGUUCUGACGGUACCCAAAGAAUAAGCACCGGCUAACUUCGUG
rnacentral:rRNA from 1 species